GUUUUAUUAUUGAUUUAGUUUUUGUUAUGUGUAAGUGAAGAUACUUUUCUUACUUACAUUAAGUUUAUUUUAGAAAAAAAAAUAAGAUGUAAGACUAAUAUGGGCCUAGAGAAUGCUGUCACUUAUGACCCAUUUAGGUUUAGAGAUAGACUUAGUAUAAAUAAGCAUUUGUAACCUCAUGGAGGGCAGAUUUUGAUUAUUAUUUUUGUGAGGCUUUGCUCUCU
rnacentral:lncRNA from 1 species